GGAAGCUCCCACCUGAGCGGCGCAUCCUCAGGGCCUGGGCCUGGCCUCCUUGCCUGUGAGAUGGCACUGUGACGGUGCCCACCUCGUGGGGUGUGUGAGGGCCGAGUGAAAUCGUGCAUUUGCGCUAACGAUGAGAACCACUGCUUGAGGGCCUUCCUAUUUCUUCCACCAUGCAUCUGAUUAACUGUACUGCGUCAGAGUCCUAAAUGGGGAAGGGAAGAGAUGAGAAGGGAUGAGAUCACUGCUUAUACAAGACAGGGCCAGGAGGGACAGUAUUAAAACUUCUGUCAGCUGAAGGACAAUCAUGAACGCAGAGGAGGCCUCUCUGCAGCCCACAGGAGGCAAGGGACACAUCCCCGUACGCAGACAGCCGCAGCCUGGGAAGCAGAUCUGCCCAUUCACCUAACAGGAGAGGCAGUGCCGAGCUUGCCGAGGAUUAGAGCCUCCCACCUUCUUGCUCCCGUUAUGCAAGUUGCAGCUUGAUCACCCAGCAGCUCCUGGGGGCAAAUCCAUUUGAGUAACUGUUCAACAGCAUGUGCUUAAUUUCCAAGAAACUUUCC
rnacentral:lncRNA from 1 species